GAGCUGGGAAAUCUCGAGGCACAGGUGCCACAUGUCAGAAGAGCAGCAUAAGCAUUAAGAAUCUUCAUCUUGCUUUAAAACAUCUCACCAAUCAUGGUUAGAUUCCUGCUGCUAUGAUGACCAACUUCAUUAUUUCUCUCUCAAAGAGUAGAAGCAUGUGAGUUAAUUUGAGACUUCAAGGUGCUGCUCCAAUACUAUUUUCCAGGUCUCAUCUGGAUCCCCCUCACCCCUUGCUUAUUAAAAGUGCCUUCCGCCUAGAGACUGUAAAUAUGGAUGCACGCCUGGGGAUGUCUUGAGCCUAGGCUGCAGUUUGUAUAUACGGUGGAUUGCAUUAAUGGAUUUUCAUAUGUUGAACUACCCCUGCAUCCCCCGGAUGAAGCCUGUUUCAGCAUGGUGGUUGUUCUUUUAUUCACAGUUAGUAAUGAUCCUGGGAGUUAAAUGCGGCUGCGAGAGUU